AUAAUUUUAACAUUAGCUUAAUAAUAAAAAUGUUAAAUCUGUUCUUAUCAAUUUAAUAUCUGAUAGGUCCUUUAUUUGAGGACUGUAUAUUAAAUUGAUUUUUGAAACAGGGGGCUGGAAUAGGCGCGCGCUCUAUUCACACCAUGCAUUCACCUGGUAUUGCAGUGCCUCUAGGAACAGUGCAUCUCCU
ensembl:snRNA U2 U2 spliceosomal RNA